UUAUUCGCCAGGUAUUYACUCUUGGCAAAGCCCAUGYAAUGCAUGAGCACUUGGGAUAUCCCUUAUCACACUUUCGYGCAUUGUAAAGGUUUCGCGCCUGCUGCGCCCCGUGGGGCGGGGGCGGCGGGACGGGCGCGGGGCGCGGCGGGCG
rnacentral:rRNA from 1 species